rnacentral:lncRNA from 1 species
GCAGGAAAAGGAAACCUAUAGCUCUGAUACCAACUGACACGACCCACCCCGAAUUUCACCCUGAAACCCAGAGUAAGUCGUGCGGGGACCACCUCCAAGGAAAAUUUACUGAAAAGAUUAAGAAAAUCUCCGUUGCAGAUGGACAACCCUAACUCGAAAAUUUCGUAUUACACUCUUAAUUCAACACUUCCGAACCUCACAUAAUUUACAAAAAUUCUAAAGUAUUUAGAGCUACUAAACACAAACGGAAGCAAGAAAACACGAGUAGGUUGAACAGGUAACCUACUGGCGAAAACUGGCAGAAAUGCGGGUGACUAUGCCUCGUCUCCUACUAGAUCCAACCCGAACUCUGCAGACUGGGCAAUUUAAAACGAAGGGCCCAGGGGAAAACAUUUAAUAACGUUAGAGUGAGUGGACAAAAAUAAAAUAAUAAAUAAAAUAUUUAUGUUUCCCCAAAUUAAUUUCUAAGAAAAAAAUCGAAUGCAUGCCGCAAGUGAUAAAACUUUUAUCGCAUAAAAUAUCGAGCCUCUCAGACUCUAUAAUAUAUAUAUAUGUAUUUACACUCGUCCAUACUCCCUAUAUAAAUUCAUGGGUCUAUAUAGGGCUACUACGCUCGCGUCCAACGCUCACGUCACGCCUUAAUGCGGUGCUACACUAUGCCAUCAAGGUGGACAGACGGGUGUAUAAAUAUGUGCCCAUACCCCCUAAAUGAAUUAAACACUCAUAUAGGGCUACGUACGCUUACGUCCAACGCUCACGUCACACCAUAAUGCGGCUAUAUGCUACGCCAUUAAGGUGGACAGACACAUAUGGCUAGCUAGCAUUUCCUAUACAUACUCUCUCAUAAUUACAUAUUUAUAUUCACCGAAAAUCCCAUUUUCGGUAUCUCUCCAAGAGAAAUAAAAAUCGUACAAAAAUUAAAAUAGACGUCAAAAUACUACCACGACAUUAAUUAUUCAAUCGUGAACUUUAGCAUGCAUUUAUUUAAAAUAAACGUACCACUCACUAAUUAGGCCUAAGCCUGAUGUCAAUCUGGGGUCGUCGUCUGCUCGAGCCUCUUCACGUCCUGUUCCAAAUAUAAUAUUAAUUUCCCAACCAAUAUCCAAUAUUUAAUCAAAAUAGGCAAAAUUACCCGAGAGCCAUAAUUACGCUCAUCAUUGCCUAACUUCGAUAUUCUUACAUCGGACGAUCCGAACUUAAAU